rnacentral:misc_RNA from 1 species
GAUGAAGAACGCAGCGAAAUGCGAUAAGUAAUGUGAAUUGCAGAAUUCAGUGAAUCAUCGAAUCUUUGAACGCACCUUGCACCCUUUGGCUAUUCCGAAGGGUAUGCCUGUUUGAGUAUCAUGAACACCUCAACUCUUAUGGUUUGCCAUGAUGAGCUUGGACUUUGGGGGUCUUGCUGGCCUGUGGUCAGCUCCUCUCAAAUGGAUUAGCUUGCCAGUGUUUGGUGGCAUCACAGGUGUGAUAACUAUCUACGCUUGUGGUUUUCCACCAGGUAACCUUCAGCAAUGGGGGUUCGCUGGGGCUCAUAAAUGUCUCUCCUCAGUGAGGACAGCUCUUUGAACGUUUGAUCUCAAAUCAGGUAGGACUACCCGCUGAACUUAAGCAUAUCAAUAAGCGGAGGA